GUGGGGAAUCUUGCGCAAUGGGCGAAAGCCUGACGCAGCCAUGCCGCGUGAAUGAUGAAGGUCUUAGGAUUGUAAAAUUCUUUCACCGGGGACGAUAAUGACGGUACCCGGAGAAGAAGCUCCGGCUAACUUCGUGCCAGCAGCCGCGGUAAUACGAAGGGGGCUAGCGUUGCUCGGAAUUACUGGGCGUAAAGGGCGCGUAGGCGGACAGUUUAGUCAGAGGUGAAAGCCAAGGGCUCAACCUUGGAAUUGACUUUGAUACUGGCUGGCUUGAGUUUGGGAGAGGUGAGUGGAACUCCGAGUGUAGAGGUGAAAUUCGUAGAUAUUCGGAAGAAGACCAGUGGCGAAGGCGACUCACUGGCCCAAUACUGACGCUGAGGCGCGAAAGCGUGGGGAGCAAACAGGAUUAGAAACCCGGGUAGUCC
rnacentral:rRNA from 1 species